GUACAUAACUUUUGUUCCUUGAGAAAGGGAAUGAGAUACUGCGUCAUGAAAUGGCACUAACAGCGUGCGCUCACAUGAACUUUUUGUACAACUAUAUGAAGCCCUUAUAAAGGCACAGAGUGAUGAAGUCACGAUUGAUAGCAGAACAGGAAGGUAUUCACCUUAUUUUUCACGACAACAAGGGCGGCGCCAUUUCGCUCAUUUUGUCAACGUUCUUCCGGCCGCAUAGACGAUGAGCAGCUGAGGCAGUGACUGAAGGCGACGCGUUAAGCUUAAAAAGCUCACUCGAGCGCCUUUAUGUUUCUUUCUUACCAAUUUUAAGCCAACUGAGGAACACCCUUAUCCCAAGUAAUGGUUCGACUACGAUGUUCCGGUAACUUUAAACCACGCCGGGUGUUGAAAAGGUGGCCAGUUUCAGAUGCAUUGAUGUGUAGUGAAGCAGAGGACAACUGUGAGGAUGAUACAAUCAACAUGUUCCUAAACUGUGAUGCAGAAACACAAUGGGAGGAUCCAUCCGUCUCUGACCACAACUACACUUUAAAAUCACAACUCAACCUGAAGCAACCUACAUCUGAUAUGGGAAAACAAUGGUGCAGUUUCCCUGACAGGGCUUAUGCUGGUCCCAGGCUAAAAUGCAUAUUUGAGCUACAAUAAUUUAAAAACACCUUUUACUGACAUACCUCAACAUAUAUAAGUGCCAUUGUUUAAGAUGCGCACCAGUCUUGUUUUUUUGUAAGGUUUGUUUGUAAAAACUAAAAUGUCCUAAUAUAAUUAAAUCCUAGUCCUGUAAACCCUGUCCGAGAAACUGCUUCAAUGUGUUGAGCUGGCACAAAUGUACAUAUCUCUGCUGAGAAACAACCAUCUUUGGUUCAGCUUUACAGAGGGUUGAUAUUGCAUCCAUUACACAGUCGCCAAGCACUUUACCAGUACAUACACCAACAGCUUCCAGAUAAACACUUGGGAUCAGCUCCUGAUGACUCCGAUAAAGCUGUGUCUUAAUUUAUUGCAGGGUGGUUUUGCUUUUCCUGUUGUAAAGUUACAUUAAACCUUCAUAUGUGAUCAGAUGUCAUGCAGUGAUAUUAAACAUGUACAGUGUGAUCAGAUGUUGUGCAUUUAUAUUAAACCUUUACAAUGUGAUCAGAUGUUGUGCAAUUAUAUUAAACCUUUACAAUGUGAUCAGAUGUUGUGCAGUUAUAUUAAACCUUUACUAUGUGAUCAGCUGUUACCUGUCAUGCAGUUAUAUUAAACAUUUACUAUGUGAUCAGAUGUAACCUGCCAUGCAGUUAUAUAAACCUUUACAGUGUGAUCAGA